UCCUCGUUAGUAUAGUGGUGAGUAUCCCCGCCUGUCACGCAGGAGACCGGGGUUCGAUUCCCCGACGGGGAG
rnacentral:tRNA from 1 species